GACGUAGGGCGCGAGCGUUGUCCGGAUUUAUUGGGCGUAAAGAGCUCGUAGGCGGCUUGUCGCGUCGACUGUGAAAACCCGGGGCUCAACCCCGGGCCUGCAUUCGAUACGGGCAGACUAGAGUUCGGUAGGGGAGUCUGGAAUUCCUGGUGUAGCGGUGAAAUGCGCAGAUAUCAGGAGGAACACCGGUGGCGAAGGCGGGACUCUGGGCCGAUACUGACGCUGAGGAGCGAAAGCGUGGGGAGCAAACAGG
rnacentral:rRNA from 1 species